CAGCCGCCGCGGUAAAACGUAGGGUGCAAGCGUUAAUCGGAAUUACUGGGCGUAAAGCGUGCGCAGGCGGUUAUAUAAGACAGAUGUGAAAUCCCCGGGCUCAACCUGGGAACUGCAUUUGUGACUGUAUAGCUAGAGUACGGCAGAGGGGGAUGGAAUUCCGCGUGUAGCAGUGAAAUGCGUAGAUAUGCGGAGGAACACCGAUGGCGAAGGCAAUCACCUGGGCCUGUACUGACGCUCAUGCACGAAAGCGUGGGGAGCAAACAGGAUUAGAUACCCCGGUAGUCCCUGUCUCUUAUAC
rnacentral:rRNA from 1 species